UUUUCUUUCAUGGGGCCUCUUCUAAAUCAAUAACAGCAGAUCCAGUGUUGCCAAUGGGCCUCGGCCCGUAUCUCUCCCGGUGUAGCCAUCGCCCAGCGCGCAGCAGGCCGCUAUCCGCCGCUGCCUCUACACAGCAUUUGCUUCUUCCCGGAUAGGAUCGC